rnacentral:lncRNA from 10 species
UAUUUUCUAUAGGGAUUUAGACUAGAACAUCUCUGAAAAUUAGUUUUUGGGGGGAGAUAUGUGUCUUUUUGAACAAGUAUUUGCUCCUAAGAGAGAGAAGACUGGAUUUCCCAAAAAGCCUAUGAAAAUCUGAGCUCUCUUAUGCUAGACUGUGAAAGGGGGCUAAAUUUGUCUGAACUGAAUUAUAGGAGCCACGUACACAGUGUUUUUAAAAAUAAUCCAAUUUGGGGAAAUAUACUAGCAAUUAUUGAAAUUCCCUUCUUCAAGCUGGCAAAGCCAGACCAAACACUACAGGUGUGGAUUUCCUUGUUCCUAUUGUUAAUCAUUCUGGUACAGUCUGUGAGCAGAAGGGACAGAAAAGAUCAAAUUUCGCCUUCCCAGAGCAAAACUCAGGAAUUGUGUAUUUUUCAUAUGUAAAGGAAAAAUGUGAACUUGAAUGUCUAUUAAUGAAGGAUUGGGGGAAAAACAACAAUUAUAGCACAGUAUAUCCAAGCAAUGAAAUACCAUGUAGACAUUAAAAAGAAUAUAGAGGCCUGGCACAGUGGCUCACGCCUGUAAUCCUAGCACUUUGGGAGGCCAAGGCAGGAGGAUCACCUGAGGUCAGGAGUUCAAGACCAGCAGGGCCAACAUGGUGAAUCCCCGUCUCUAUUAAAAAUACAAAAAUUAGCCGAGUGUGAGGCCAGGUGCCUGUAAUCCCAGCUACUCGGGAGCCUGAGACAGGAGAAUUGCUUGAACCCAGGAGGCAGAUGUUGCAGUGAGCCUAGAUCAUACCACUGCACUCCAGCCUGGGCGACAGAGGGAGACUCCAUCAAAAAAAAAAACAAAAAAACAAAAACAACAACAACAAAAACAAAUAUAAAAGGUAUAUAUGAACUGAUUUGGAAAGUCACAUAUGGUUAAGUGUAGGAAAAUUUGUUACACAACACUAGAUGAGAGUAUAACCCAUUUUUAUGUUCAUUUGUUCAUUCAUUCAACAAGUAUUUCUUAAGCAUUUCAAUGGGUUAGAAAUACAACAGCAAACCAACCAAAGUUCCUAUUCUCAUGGAGUGUACUUUGUAGUGGAGAGAAACAAACAAGAAACAAAUACAUAUAUGACGUUAGUAAAGAAAAAUGGGGCAGGCCACUGAGAUAGAUAUUUUCGAGGGUGCUGGUGUAGAUCAAGUAGUCAGAGGCCUUUCUGACUACUCGAUAAAAUGACAUUUGCCUUGAGACUACCUGAAUACAUAUGUGCAUUUAUGUUAUGUAUAUAAUUAUUUCUGUUAGGAUUGUGUUUGGCACUAUGUAACAGAGAACAACUGCAGUGGCUUAAACACCUCAGGUUAUUUUUCUCACAUUGAAAAAGAAGGCGGGGGAGAGCUGGUGCAGCUGCUCAAGGAACAAUUACCCUCUAUUUUCCCAGACUACUAUCCUCCAUGUCUGGUCACAAGAUGGCAGCUGCCAUUCCAGGAUUCACACCCACACUUCAGGCAGGGCAAAAGGGGAAGGGCAAAGCACAAAAAGGCACAGACCAGCUACCCCCUGCCCCUUUUUUAAUGAGGAAAAUGAUAGCAUUUUCAGAAGGCCUUCCCCCAAUAGACUUCUGCUUACCUUUCAUUGGCCAACACUGUGUCACAUGAUGGCUCCUAGCUGCAAGAGAGCCUGCACACUUUAAUUUCUCUGUUGAGCACAUGCUGCCUUGAAUGCAAGCUUGAGUGUGGGCAGGUAUUUGGCAGUGUCUGUCUCAUGAGUGCAUUGAAGCCACAGGAUGCAAUUUUAGAAUCCGAGAAACUAUUCUACCCUUUAAAUCUUCAAGAAUCCAGAAAGGGGAAAAAAAGAAUAGGGAGAGGAGGUGGGAGAAGAGAGAAGCCAGUGUCAGAUGGGCAGGCUCGGACCACGGACUUGGACU